rnacentral:snRNA from 1 species
GGAUGUGAGGGCGAUCUGGCUGCGACAUCUGUCACCCCAUUGAUCACCAGGGUUGAUUCGGCUGAUCUGGCUGGCUAGGCGGGUGUCCCCCUCCUCCCUCACCGAUCCAUGUGCGUCCCUCCCGAAGCUGCGCGCUCGGUCGAAGAGGACGACCUUCCCCCCCGAGGAGAGGACCGGUCUUCGGUCAAGGGUAUACGAGUAGCUGCGCUCCCCUGCUAGAACCUCCAAACAAGCUCUCAAUUUUAGGCUGGGAAGGCAGAGAUGGGGAGUGUCCCUCUCCCCCAGCCAUGAGAGGCCCUGAGACCCUAGACAAGUCAUUUCCU